AGCAACAAAUGCCCUGCUUCCAGGAAAAGCCUCUAAGCAUCAGGUAACAUCAAAUCGUACCCCAAACCGACACAGGUGGUCAGGUAGAGAAUACCAAGGCGCUUGAGAGAACUCGGGUGAAGGAACUAGGCAAAAUGGUGCCGUAACUUCGGGAGAAGGCACGCUGACACGUAGGUGAAGUGAUUUACUCACGGAGCUGAAGUCAGUCGAAGAUACCAGCUGGCUGCAACUGUUUAUUAAAAACACAGCACUGUGCAAACACGAAAGUGGACGUAUACGGUGUGACGCCUGCCCGGUGCCGGAAGGUUAAUUGAUGGGGUCAGCGCAAGCGAAGCUCCUGAUCGAAGCCCCGGUAAACGGCGGCCGUAACUAUAACGGUCCUAAGGUAGCGAAAUUCCUUGUCGGGUAAGUUCCGACCUGCACGAAUGGCGUAAUGAUGGCCAGGCUGUCUCCACCCGAGACUCAGUGAAAUUGAACUCGCUGUGAAGAUGCAGUGUACCCGCGGCAAGACGGAAAGACCCCGUGAACCUUUACUAUAGCUUGACACUGAACAUUGAGCCUUGAUGUGUAGGAUAGGUGGGAGGCUUUGAAGCGUGGACGCCAGUCUGCGUGGAGCCGACCUUGAAAUACCACCCUUUAAUGUUUGAUGUUCUAACGUGGACCCGUUACCCGGGUUGCGGACAGUGUCUGGUGGGUAGUUUGACUGGGGCGGUCUCCUCCUAAAGAGUAACGGAGGAGCACGAAGGUUGGCUAAUCCUGGUCGGACAUCAGGAGGUUAGUGCAAUGGCAUAAGCCAGCUUGACUGCGAGCGUGACGGCGCGAGCAGGUGCGAAAGCAGGUCAUAGUGAUCCGGUGGUUCUGAAUGGAAGGGCCAUCGCUCAACGGAUAAAAGGUACUCCGGGGAUAACAGGCUGAUACCGCCCAAGAGUUCAUAUCGACGGCGGUGUUUGGCACCUCGAUGUCGGCUCAUCACAUCCUGGGGCUGAAGUAGGUCCCAAGGGUAUGGCUGUUCGCCAUUUAAAGUGGUACGCGAGCUGGGUUUAGAACGUCGUGAGACAGUUCGGUCCCUAUCUGCCGUGGGCGCUGGAGAACUGAGGGGGGCUGCUCCUAGUACGAGAGGACCGGAGUGGACGCAUCACUGGUGUUCGGGUUGUCAUGCCAAUGGCACUGCCCGGUAGCUAAAUGCGGAAGAGAUAAGUGCUGAAAGCAUCUAAGCACGAAACUUGCCCCGAGAUGAGUUCUCCCUGAGACUUAGAGUCUCCUGAAGGAACGUUGAAGACGACGACGUUGAUAGGCCGGGUGUGUAAGCGCAGCGAUGCGUUGAGCUAACCGGUACUAAUGAACCGUGAGGCUUAACCUUACAACGCCGAAG
rnacentral:rRNA from 2 species